UACGAAGGGGGCUAGCGUUGUUCGGAAUUACUGGGCGUAAAGCGCGCGCAGGCGGCUUCUCAAGUCAGGGGUGAAAGCCCAGAGCUCAACUCUGGAAUUGCCUUUGAGACUGAGUGGCUUGAGUACGAGAGAGGUGAGUGGAAUUCCCAGUGUAGAGGUGAAAUGCGUAGAUAUCUGGAGGAACACCGGUGGCGAAGGCGGCAUCCUGGACCAACACUGACACUGAGGAGCGAAAGCCAGGGGAGCAAACGGG
rnacentral:rRNA from 1 species